rnacentral:lncRNA from 1 species
AUAAAUUCAAACAUGUUUAUUCAAGAGUGUUUUGAUGAGAUAGUGCGGAUUUCUUUUAACUUAACUAAGAUCAUUUGAUUUCUGAUUUGAGCAUGCAAUAAAGUUAAAAUUCUUAGAUUAAAGACUCCUCAACAUCUACAAUUAUAUUCCAUCUGAAAAAACAUCUACAAUUUUAACUCCCUUUUAUAUUUAAAAUUCUCCAUGAAAUCUUAAUUAGGGCUCUAUUACACUUUGUCCCACCUUGAGUAUAAUGAGGUCACGCUGAGCUCCACCUUCAACAUCUCUAACUCAGCCGAGUCAUCAACAUCACACUGAGCUCCACCUUCAACAUGUCUAGCUCAGUUGGGUCAUCCAGGUCACACUGAGCUCCACCCUCAACAUGCAUGGCUCAGCUCGAUUAUUCAUGUCAUGCUCGCCCUGUGGUCCUUGAACAAGUGUUUCAUGGCUUGCCACGUGUCAUGUACA